GACGAACGCUGGCGGCGUGCUCAACACAUGCAAGUCGAGCGGUAAGGCUCCUUCGGGAGUACACGAGCGGCGAACGGGUGAGUAACACGUGAGUAAUCUGCCCUUCACUUCGGGAUAACCACCGGAAACGGUGGCUAAUACCGAAUACGACCAGUCUUCGCAUGAGGUGCUGGUGGAAAGUCUUUUCGGUGAAGGAUGUGCUCGCGGCCUAUCAGCUUGUUGGUGGGGUAAUGGCCUACCAAGGCUUCGACGGGUAGCCGGCCUGAGAGGGUGACCGGCCACACUGGGACUGAGACACGGCCCAGACUCCUACGGGAGGCAGCAGUGGGGAAUAUUGGACAAUGGGCGAAAGCCUGAUCCAGCAACGCCGCGUGAGGGAUGACGGCCUUCGGGUUGUAAACCUCUUUCAGUACCGACGAAGCGCCCUGUCGGGUGGUGACGGUAGGUACAGAAGAAGGACCGGCCAACUACGUG
rnacentral:rRNA from 1 species